UAUAUAUAGAUAUAUUCAAGUCAUUCUUCACAUUUCCAUAAACAUAAGUAUGCCAUGCCAAAUAUAAAAUAGAAUAAGUAACUCAGGUGAAAUAAAUUCAUGGAAAAUAACACAUUAGCUGGAACCCCUGCAGAAGUUUGUAUGAUUGAAUUCAUAGCUCAUUAGUCAAUCUAGUCGAAGUCACUACAAAUGACUUAUACGGCGCUACACUACACACAAGUCAGAACCACUAAAAGGUCUGUACGACAAGACUGGGUGUAAUAUAGUUAUACUUAAUACUACGCUCUCAUGAUAGCUGUGCGAUAAAUCGCUAGUCACCUACGAGUCGAAACCACCUAUAAUGGUCUGUACGACAAGACUGUGCACCUAAAUUAGAUCCAAUGUGAGCAUAUGGUGCGGGAGGUGACAUUAUAAACAGACUUGUGCCAUAUCUCUAGCUAAAUCACUAACACCGGGGUGCAGGUUUAUGAGUUCUAUGCUUCUUAAAUAAUCACAACCGUUAUUCACAUUCACAAUUCAUAAACUCACCUGGACUUAACUGAGCGUCCACAUCACCACAAUUAUAUAUAUGCAUCAUAUAUUAAUUCAUAUACUUAACAUAAAUUUAUAUGCAUGGCAUUCCAAGGCUUACUUUCGCAUUUUCUGGGAAAAUAUCAAGUAUAUACUAAAAACCAAAAGCCCACUCACUAGUAUGUCAAAGGGUCGUAGCCCCUGAGUCACCCUUGACUGCGCUCGUCUUUGGGAUAAGUCUCCCCUAUAUGCGAAACAACUAUAAAAACGUUAAUUUAAAGCACAUAACCAAUACUAGUUAAUAACUUCUCAUACAUUGCUCAAAUUGGAUGUUUGAAUAUACCAACGUGAUCUACACAACCUCAC
rnacentral:lncRNA from 1 species